UCUAGGGUUCUCUUCCCUAGUUUUGCAUUUUUUCUGUUUUAAAAUAGGAGCAAUUUCUACGGGAGAAGGUUAAAGUCAAUGGCAAAACUGGAAAUCUCGGGAAUGUUGUUCACAUUGAACGCUUCAAGAAUAAAAUCACAGUUGUUUCUGAGAAACAGUUCUCUAAAAGGUAUUUGAAAUACCUUACCAAGAAAUACCUUAAGAAGAACAAUCUUCGUGAUUGGCUUCGAGUGGUUGCAUCUGACAAGGAGACCUACGAACUUCGUUACUUCCAGAUUAGUCAAGAUGAAGAUGAAUCAGAGUCGGAGGACUAGGCAAAGGCUCCCCUUACAGGGCUUUGCUUAUUAAUAAAAUAAAUGAAGUAUACAUGAGAAAUACCAAGAAAUUGGCUUUUAGUUUAUCAGUGAAUAAAAAAUAUUAUACUCUUGAACUUUUGUCUCAUUUUUUUGAGUAUGCUGUUUGUAUGAUUUUGAUUUCCCUCUGAUAACUAUCAACAGUAUUUAAAUAGCUUAUAGCUGGUAUAAUUUUUUCCCACGAUUUCCAAAAUCUUUUACGUACUCAGGUAAAAGUAGCGUUAUAUAGGAAAUCUUUUUUUUAGACACUCUCGUUCUGUCACCCAGGCUGGAGUGCAGUGACUCAGCUUCCUAAAUAGCUGGAAUUACAGGUGUGAGCCACCAUGCCCGGCUAAUUUUUUGUACUUUUAGUAGAGUAGGGUUUGGCCAUGUUGGCCAGGCUGGUUUCAAACUCCUGACCUCAAGUGAUCUACCCACCUCAGCUUCCCAAACUGCUGAUUAUAGCUGUGAGCCACCAUGCCCGGCCAGGAAAUCUUACUGUAGAACAAUUUUUUAUAUAGCUGUAUAAAAUGUAUAUGAUUGUCUUGACAGUCUCAAAUACUGUUUU
rnacentral:sRNA from 1 species